AAGCCGGUGGGAAUCCGGCGCUGCCCCGCAACUGUAAGCGGAACGAAAUCCGCGUAACGCCACUGGUCUCUUAAGGACCGGGAAGGCGCGGAGAGUAGGCAUGAGCCGCGAGCCAGGAUA
rnacentral:ncRNA from 26 species